rnacentral:rRNA from 1 species
UACGAGGGGGGCAAGCGUUGUUCGGAAUUAUUGGGCGUAAAGGGUGCGUAGGCGGUUUGGUAAGUCUUACUGUGAAAUCUACAGGCUCAACUUGUAGUCUGCAUGAGAAACUGCCGGGCUUGAGUAUGGGAGAGGUGAGUGGAAUUCCUGGUGUAGCGGUGAAAUGCGUAGAUAUCAGGAGGAACACCUGUGGCGAAAGCGGCUCACUGGACCAUAACUGACGCUGAUGCACGAAAGCUAGGGGAGCAAACAGG